rnacentral:lncRNA from 1 species
AUAUAAAGAAUUUUGCAAGCCUCAUGACUUGCAAUUUCGUAUAGGAGAUGAUUGAAUCUUAAGUUUUUGCUUAUUGCUGGGUAAAAUUAGGAGGCUAUGUGUGUAGAAUAGUGCUCCUUUCUCAACGGAGAAAGCUGAUCAUUACAGUAGAUACUUGGGUUACACUAACUACUACGACCAUUUAUUUGGAAGUUUAAAAAUCAAUUUUCGUAGGUAGGCCAUAUUAAACAUUGUGUCAAUUAAUUGGGUUUCAAUGUGUCAUUCAAUUAAAGUUUCGAUAUCAUAUAAAGUUUUGGUCAAUGCAACUUUUAGUUGGAUGCCAGGUUAAUUUUAGCAAUUCAACUUGUAUUUGGGUGUUGACCCAACAAAUUGAUUAAAAUAAUUUCUAAUUGGGCUUACAUCUUAUAUAUGAUAUUCAGCUAUAUUUGUGAU